rnacentral:rRNA from 1 species
GCGGCAACAGCUCAAAUUUGAAAUCUGGCCCUCGGGCCCGAGUUGUAAUUUGGAGAGGAUGCUUCUGGCGCGGCGCCGUCCGAGUUCCUUGGAACAGGACGCCAUAGAGGGUGAGAGCCCCGUACGGGCGGCCGCCUAGCCUUUGCGAAGCUCCUUCGACGAGUCGAGUAGUUUGGGAAUGCUGCUCAAAAUGGGAGGUAAAUUUCUUCUAAAGCUAAAUACCGGCCAGAGACCGAUAGCGCACAAGUAGAGUGAUCGAAAGAUGAAAAGCACUUUGAAAAGAGGGUUAAAAAGUACGUGAAAUUGUUGAAAGGGAAGCGCCUGUGACCAGACUUGCGGCCCGCGGAUCAUCCGGUGUUCCUCACCGGUGCGCUCCGCGGGCCGCAGGCCAGCAUCGGCUCUCCCGGGGGGACAAAGGUCGCGGGAACGUGGCUCCUUAGGGAGUGUUAUAGCCCGCUUCGUCAUGCCUCCGGGGGGGCCGAGGACCGCGCUUCGGCAAGGAUGCUGGCGUAAUGGUCACCGGCGACCCGUCUUGAAACACGGACCAAGGAGUCAAGCAUUGGGGCGAGUGUCUGGGUGCCAAACCCGCACGCGAAAUGAAAGUAAACGCAGGUGAGAGCUUCGGCGCAUCACCGACCGAUCCUGAUGUCUUCGGAUGGAUUUGAGUAAGAGCCUUACCGCUUGGACCCGAAAGAUGGUGAACUAUGCCUGUAUAGGGUGAAGCCAGAGGAAACUCUGGUGGAGGCUCGCAGCGGUUCUGACGUGCAAAUCGAUCGUCAAAUAUGGGCAU